GCUUGUAAUCUAUUCAUGGACAAAGGAUGCCUCAAGUGUGACAUGGGUCAUGAAGAAAGCGAUUCAAUAGUACUGCAAACUUCAAGGAUUUAGUGUGUACAGCCAAGAUACUACUUUGAGGUAGGCUCUACUCAAGCAUAUCUGAAACUGAAGGAAGUUGACGUUGCUAUCACUUACAUGUUUGAGCUUAGAAACAAUUGGGAUUGGGAGUUGCUUACCUGUUUCAACCGUCCACCUGAUCCAGCAAGUAUUUGGGAGUGCAUCACUGGCCGAACCUUUCCCCGGGACCAAAUCUUACUGAUGAUUUUUCACCCAUGACCACCGACUCAUGUUACUUGUCUGAUGGGUUUUUGCUGUUGUGGCAGCCGGGCAGCGACUCGGGAAACAUCUUGUAUUGGCACAUUGCAUACACAUGCAGGUUCUAUGGCCUAUCUGAAUCUUAUCAACAACACUUUGAUGGGUUCAGAAGCAAUACAUGGGGUGCAUGUGAACUACAAGAGCAUUCAGUAUGAAUAUUUUACCCAUGGUUUUGCCCACUGUGAAAUUAAUUUGGAGAAGUUUGCACUGCUGUGGAAGAAGGAGAAACACAGUUCGGCUUCAGUGUGUACAAUGACUUCGGCUUCACAUGUGAAGCUUCAGUACUACCACGGCUCCGUCGACCACAAGUACUACCACGGCUUCGACAAUGACUACUUCGGCUUCACAUGUGAUUGGAACGCCAUCGGCCACGACUACUACAAUCCUGUCAUACAAGUCAACCCCGAUCGCGGCUACCACCACGACUUCGAACUAGUCGGAAUAUAGAGUGCAAUGGGAUCCGGGCGGCUCUCGGUGGCUUCGGCUUGGAGUCAAGCCGAAUCUUAAGAAGGGGGGAUGUUAGCAGCCCUCCUAACAUGUAUGCACAUGGGCUUGGACAUUGGGCCUCUCAUGGACUUGGCCCGCCCGCUACCCCAUCGCUGCAGCUACAAAUACCAGAUCGAAGGCAAAGAGGAAGGUAUCCAGUGGAUCACGGCACCGAACAGCACGACGGCUACCUUCCUCUCUUCUCCUACCUCUGCUCUUCUUUGUUCUUCUUUGUUCACGGUGUUGGAGUUGGUCGUCGGGAACGCCGACGUCGAGUGGGGCGAGCUUGUUUCUCUGGUGAACUCCCAUGCUCUAGUGUCGGCGUAAGAUCCCGAAGUAGCUCUCUGGCAUGGAGAAUAACCGAGGGAAAGAUGUCACAUAGAAGCACAUCGAUGAGAGACUUGGAUUGGUAUAAGAAUAUGGUCUAAGUUGGCUUACCGGCGUGGGAAUUCGGCGAUGAACUGCAGCUUCUGCGGCAAGAUUGGAACGGUGAUGCGGACGAUAUGGUGGGUUUUGGCGAGGGGUUUCGAAGGGAAUCGGUCGAGGAGGGUCGUGACUAUUUAUAGGACAUAUUUCUUGGGGAAGGGGAAGGCGCAGAGCGCGAUCCUGAGAAGAUCGG
rnacentral:lncRNA from 1 species